AACAGGUGCCGGCGCUUAGAGGGCCUGAACGGAGUUAAUGAUGCUGCCUCUGUUUCUCUGUAACGUCAGCAUCAUUUCUACAAGCAGUUGAUCAGGGCAGGGGCUAUAGCACUGGGCAGACCUAAUACUCUGAGAGGCCGUUAUGCAGCCGAGAGAUGAUUCCUGAGCAAGAAGCAGAGAUGGAAUUGUGUCCUGGGUAAAGGCUCUGGUGUCAGACGAGAAGAAACUGUUCUGCUUUGCAGGCGUUGCUGCCCCUGUCUUGCAGAUGUUGCUACCUUGCAGAGAAAUUCACACGUUUGCAGCAAGACCCCUGCAAAAUGUCCCAGCCCCAAGUGUCCUAAAGUUACCUUAAACGUAUUAGCAUCGUAAAUUCUCCUUCUCUGGGAGGGUCCAAGCAGCCAUUUUCAGAUCGUGUGAUGUGUGUAAUAGCACGUGUACCUGCCAUGCAUGCGCCCUAAAGGGACACCGUGGUUUCAAAUGAGCAGCCAGAUUUCCUCUGCUCUCUGUGUAUAAAGCCCCCCACCGGCACUGAGCUCAGGGAACUCUGCUUUGGGAGCCAUCCCUCAUGUUCUCCAUCACUUGUGCAAGCAAUAAACCUGUUCUUCACCUGCUUCUGCCUUGUUCUGCUUCUCGGCUUCGCACUCACCAAGAGACAAACCCACCGACUUCGCUUCCAUCUCCUUGUAUUCGUUUUCUAUUCCUGCCGUAAUGAAUUACUAGUUUAGUGACUUAGAGUGACCACGUACUGUCUCCAGUUCUGUAGGUCAGAUGCCCGCUCACAGCCUGGCCCUGCUCUGCUUGGUCUCUCUCAAGGGGAGGCCAAGGAGUCGGCUGCUGGCUGCUCUCUCGGGGGCUCCGGGUGAAUCGGCUUGCAAGCCCAUUCAGUUGGCAGGUGUGGGACUGAGAUCUUUCUUACUGGAUGUCAUCCUGGGGUCACACUUAGCUUCUAGAGGACCCCCCCAUAUUCCCUGGCCCGUGGCUCCCUUCCAACCCAGCAAUGGAGGCUCAAGUCCCUCUGACUUUCCCUUCUGCCUCGUCGUGUGGAAUCUUCUGCCUCCUUCUACUUUUGAUUAAAUAUCUUUAUUGAUAUAAUCCGUGUAUCAUUCAAUUCACUAGUUUGUAAUUCAGUGUCUUCUAGGAUAUUCAUGGAAUUGUGCAACCACCACCACUGUCUAAUUUUUGAAUAUUUUUACUCUCCUCAAAAAC
rnacentral:lncRNA from 1 species